rnacentral:rRNA from 1 species
AGGACGAACGCUGGCGGCGUGCUUAACACAUGCAAGUGGAGCGACGAACCAGGGCUUGCCCUGGGGCAGAGCCGCGAACGGGUGAGUAACACGUGGGUUACCUGCCUUGAUGACCGGGACAACCCGAGGAAACUCGGGCUAAUACCGGAUGUGCCCGCAAGGGGAAAGGAAGCUUCGGCCUCCGCAUCAAGAUGGGCCCGCGGCCCAUUAGCUUGUUGGUGAGGUAACGGCUCACCAAGGCUUCGAUGGGUAGCUGGUCUGAGAGGACGAUCAGCCACACUGGGACUGAGACACGGCCCAGACUCCUACGGGAGGCAGCAGUGGGGAAUCUUGCGCAAUGCGCGAAAGCGUGACGCAGCAACGCCGCGUGGGGGAAGAAGGCUUUCGGGUUGUAAACCCCUUUCAGUUGGGACGAAGCUUCUCCGGUGAAUAGCCGGAUGGAGUGACGGUACCUUCACAAGAAGCACCGGCUAACUACGUGCCAGCAGCCGCGGU